UACGGAGGAUCCGAGCGUUAUCCGGAUUUAUUGGGUUUAAAGGGGGCGUAGGCGGGUUGUUAAGUCAGUUGUGAAAGUUUGCGGCUCAACCGUAAAAUUGCAGUUGAUACUGGCAUCCUUGAGUACAGUAGAGGUAGGCGGAAUUCGUGGUGUAGCGGUGAAAUGCAUAGAUAUCACGCAGAACCCCGAUUGCGAAGGCAGCUCACUGGACUGCAACUGACACUGAGGCUCGAAAGUGUGGGUAUCAAACAGG
rnacentral:rRNA from 1 species